AUUGAACGCUGGCGGCAGGCUUAACACAUGCAAGUCGAGCGGAGCGAGGGUGCUUGCACCUUAGCUUAGCGGCGGACGGGUGAGUAAUGCUUAGGAAUCUGCCUAUUAGUGGGGGACAACAUUCCGAUAGGAAUGCUACUACCGCAUACGCCCUACGGGGGAAAGCAGGUGAUCUUCGGACCUUGCGGUAAACGAUGAGCAUAGGUAGGAUUCGCUAGUUGGUGGGGUAAAGGCCUACCAAGGCGACGUUCUGUAGCGGGUCUGAGAGGCUGAUCCGCCACACUGGGACUGAGACACGGCCCAGACUCCUACGGGAGGCAGCAGUGGGGAAUAUUGGACAAUGGGCGGAAGCCUGAUCCAGCCAUGCCGCGUGUGUGAAGAAGGCCUUUUGGUUGUAAAGCACUUUAAGCGAGGAGGAGGCUCUUAAGGUUAAUACCCUUGAUGAGUGGACGUUACUCGCAGAAUAAGCACCGGCUAACUCUGUGCCAGCCGCCGCAGUAAAAC
rnacentral:rRNA from 1 species